rnacentral:rRNA from 1 species
CCUACGGGAGGCAGCAGUGGGGAAUAUUGCACAAUGGGCGAAAGCCUGAUGCAGCAACGCCGCGUGAGGGACGACGGCCUUCGGGUUGUAAACCUCUUUUAGCAGGGAAGAAGCGAAAGUGACGGUACCUGCAGAAAAAGCGCCGGCUAACUACGUGCCAGCAGCCGCGGUAAUACGUAGGGCGCAAGCGUUAUCCGGAAUUAUUGGGCGUAAAGAGCUCGUAGGCGGUUUGUCGCGUCUGCUGUGAAACCCCGAGGCUCAACCUCGGGCCUGCAGUGGGUACGGGCAGACUAGAGUGCGGUAGGGGAGAUUGGAAUUCCUGGUGUAGCGGUGGAAUGCGCAGAUAUCAGGAGGAACACCGAUGGCGAAGGCAGAUCUCUGGGCCGUAACUGACGCUGAGGAGCGAAAGGGUGGGGAGCAAACAGGCUUAGAUACCCUGGUAGUCCACCCCGUAAACGUUGGGAACUAGUUGUGGGGUCCAUUCCACGGAUUCCGUGACGCAGCUAACGCAUUAAGUUCCCCGCCUGGGGAGUACGGCCGCAAGGCUAAAACUCAAAGGAAUUGACGGGGACCCGCACAAGCGGCGGAGCAUGCGGAUUAAUUCGAUGCAACGCGAAGAACCUUACCAAGGCUUGACAUAUACGAGAACGGGCCAGAAAUGGUCAACUCUUUGGACACUCGUAAACAGGUGGUGCAUGGUUGUCGUCAGCUCGUGUCGUGAGAUGUUGGGUUAAGUCCCGCAACGAGCGCAACCCUCGUUCUAUGUUGCCAGCACGUAAUGGUGGGAACUCAUGGAAUACUGCCGGGGUCAACUCGGAGGAAGGUGGGGAUGACGUCAAAUCAUCAUGCCCCUUAUGUCUUGGGCUUCACGCAUGCUACAAUGGCCGGUACAAUGGGCUGCAAUACCGCAAGGUGGAGCGAAUCCCAAAAAGCCGGUCCCAGUUCGGAUUGAGGUCUGCAACUCGACCUCAUGAAGUCGGAGUCGCUAGUAAUCGCAGAUCAGCAACGCUGCGGUGAAUACGUUCCCGGGUCUUGUACACACCGCCCGUCAAGUCAUGAAAGUCGGUAACACCUGAAGCCGGUGGCCCAACCC